GGGGAGUGAAGCCAGAGGGCAGAAGUGCCCUGGAGUGCAGACCCCAGCAGACACUGACCAGGCACAGGAGGAUGAAGUGAGUUUGUUGGGGACAGAGAACAGCCAAGGGGCAGCCGGCAGUCAGCUCAAGUCCUCACAAAGAAGGGCAAUACCACCCGUGGGCCGGGACAGUCGGCUCGAGGGCCAGCAGCCAGGAACGUGGCGAAGAACUUGGAUCUGAGGUGGGCCCAUGGUGUAGCUGUGGUGUGCUAGCAAGAGUGGCCUCCAAACCCACCCUGGAAGGUGAUCCAGAGACCAUAGAGCAGAAAGGCUUCCUUCUCAGAGUGAGCUGCUGGAAGCCCACCAGUGUCAGUGCCAAGAGGAGCUGGGGUGCCAGUAUCUGUGUAUCUUCAGAGGCAGCAGGGGCCAGUGUGCCACAUCUUGCCCCAGUCCUGAAAGGAUAGAUGGUAUUUGGCCUGUGACCCUUGGCUGAGGAGCCAUGGUCCGGCUCUGCCAGGCCCUGCUGCUGUUAGUGGCCACUGUGGCCCUUGCAUCCAGAAGAUUCCAAGCCUGGGGCUCAACAAAGGUGGUGAGGACAUUCCAAGAUAUCCCUCAAAACUACGUCUAUGUGCAGCAGGCACUCUGGUUCGCCAUGAAGGAGUAUAACAAGGCCAGCUUUAGUAUAACAAGUUCAGCUUUAGGGUGCUGAAGGUUCUGAAGAGCCAGGAGCAGGUGG
rnacentral:lncRNA from 1 species